GACGAACCGUGCGAACGUUAUUCGGAAUCACUGGGCUUAAAGGGCGCGUAGGCGGGCUGACAAGUCUGGGGUGAAAUCCCACGGCUCAACCGUGGAACUGCCUUAGAUACUGUCGGCCUCGAGGAAGGUAGGGGCAUGCGGAACUGUAGGUGGAGCGGUGAAAUGCGUUGAUAUCUACAGGAACUCCGGUGGCGAAAGCGGCGUGCUGGACCUUUUCUGACGCUGAGGCGCGAAAGCUAGGGGAGCAAACGGG
rnacentral:rRNA from 1 species